rnacentral:rRNA from 1 species
GUGAAGCGGCAACAGCUCAAAUUUGAAAGCUAGCCUUCGGGUUCGCAUUGUAAUUUGUAGAGGAUGAUUUGGGGAAGCCGCCUGUCUAAGUUCCUUGGAACAGGACGUCAUAGAGGGUGAGAAUCCCGUAUGUGACAGGAAAUGGCACCCUAUGUAAAUCUCCUUCGACGAGUCGAGUUGUUUGGGAAUGCAGCUCUAAAUGGGAGGUAAAUUUCUUCUAAAGCUAAAUAUUGGCGAGAGACCGAUAGCGCACAAGUAGAGUGAUCGAAAGAUGAAAAGCACUUUGGAAAGAGAGUUAAAAAGCACGUGAAAUUGUUGAAAGGGAAGCGCUUGCAAUCAGACUUGUUUAAACUGUUCGGCCGGUCUUCUGACCGGUUUACUCAGUUUGGACAGGCCAGCAUCAGUUUCGGCGGCCGGAUAAAGGCUCUGGGAAUGUGGCCUCCACUUCGGUGGAGGUGUUAUAGCCCAGGGUGUAAUACGGCCAGCCGGGACUGAGGUCCGCGCUUCGGCUAGGAUGCUGGCGUAAUGGUUGUAAGCGACCCGUCUUGAACCACGGACCAAAA